GAGAGGAGAAAAAAAAAUCGAAGUCGACGAACGAGAUGAAGUCGGUGCUCUCCUCGAUCUUUCAAUCUGUGCUCGCCUCGUUCUAAUUCUGAAGAACUCCGACCCCGAAAAAAUCUCCGAUUUCUGAAAAAAUUGUCUCUUUCUGGGCUUUCUCUACUUUGCUUGUUUUGAUUCUAAUUUGUCUCCUACGUGCGACAUCGGCUCGUUACAGACUUCCUUGCUCUGUUCUAAUCACGUUUUGUCUUUGUGACCUUGUGUGUUCUGUGUUAAGAGCUGCUGUACUGAGAUCAUCUGAAGAAAUCAUUAACAGCAGGAGCUGGUUGGAAGAAGAAUUAGGACAAGGCGACGAAGGUUUAAGUAAUAACCAUGAAUGUUUAGGCUCACAUGUCGGGACAACAACGAUCUGGGCAGUCUCCAAACCAAGGGAAUAACGGGAACUCUCAAAUGUAGAACUUAGUUGCUGCUUCGGCUGGUGCUGGUGGUAGCGUAGGGCCUUCACGUAGCACCGUUGGUCCGAUGGACCAUGAUAUCUAAGGCAGUACACGCAAAUCCUUGUUGGGCUGGAAUAUGCAAUGGCAUGGCUGCUGGUGUGAUGUUGGCCGCUAGCUUUGAUCUUGUGAACAUGUUGUGUAUCACGGGAUGUAUUUGUGAUGAAGUGUAGAGUCACAUGUUUAUAGUCUUGUUGUGAACAUGUUGUGUUGUAUCACGGGAUGUAUUUGUGAUGAAGUGUUGAGUCACAAAAUCUUUAUAAAUAAUGUAUUCAAAGCAUUGUUUUCAAUCAUAAACCACAAUCUGAAACAUUUCUUUCA